rnacentral:rRNA from 1 species
GAUGAACGCUGGCGGCGUGCCUAAUACAUGCAAGUCGAGCGAACGGACGAGAAGCUUGCUUUUCUGAUGUUAGCGGCGGACGGGUGAGUAACACGUGGAUAACCUACCUAUAAGACUGGGAUAACUUCGGGAAACCGGAGCUCAUACCGGAUAAUAUUUUGAACCGCAUGGUUCAAAAGUGAAAGACGGUCUUGCUGUCACUUAUAGAUGGAUCCGCGCUGCAUUAGCUAGUUGGUAAGGUAACGGCUUACCAAGGCAACGAUGCAUAGCCGACCUGAGAGGGUGAUCGGCCACACUGGAACUGAGACACGGUCCAGACUCCUACGGGAGGCAGCAGUAGGGAAUCUUCCGCAAUGGGCGAAAGCCUGACGGAGCAACGCCGCGUGAGUGAUGAAGGUCUUCGGAUCGUAAAACGCUGUUAUUAGGGAAGAACAUAUGUGUAAGUAACUGUGCACGUCUUGACGGUACCUAAUCAGAAAGCCACGGCUAACUACGUG